rnacentral:rRNA from 1 species
UUGCUGGGCGGAUUAGUGGCGAACGGGUGAGUAAUACGUGAGUAACCUGCCCUUGACUCUGGGAUAAGCCUGGGAAACUGGGUCUAAUACUGGAUACUACCUCUUGCCGCAUGGUGGGUGGUGGAAAGGGUUUUACUGGUUUUGGAUGGGCUCACGGCCUAUCAGCUUGUUGGUGGGGUAAUGGCUCACCAAGGCGACGACGGGUAGCCGGCCUGAGAGGGUGACCGGCCACACUGGGACUGAGACACGGCCCAGACUCCUACGGGAGGCAGCAGUGGGGAAUAUUGCACAAUGGGCGGAAGCCUGAUGCAGCGACGCCGCGUGAGGGAUGACGGCCUUCGGGUUGUAAACCUCUUUCAGUAGGGAAGAAGCGAGAGUGACGGUACCUGCAGAAGAAGCGCCGGCUAACUACGUGCCAGCAGCCGCGGUAAUACGUAGGGCGCAAGCGUUGUCCGGAAUUAUUGGGCGUAAAGAGCUCGUAGGCGGUUUGUCGCGUCUGCUGUGAAAGCCCGGGGCUCAACCCCGGGUCUGCAGUGGGUACGGGCAGACUAGAGUGCAGUAGGGGAGACUGGAAUUCCUGGUGUAGCGGUGAAAUGCGCAGAUAUCAGGAGGAACACCGAUGGCGAAGGCAGGUCUCUGGGCUGUUACUGA